rnacentral:rRNA from 1 species
AUGUAUCCUAAAAAUCCACAAGAAGACCUCUUUAUUGCUCCGGCGGUACAACAUCCUGAUGACGAUGACCCGGGCAGUCUUGACUCUGACAAACCUCUCUCUUCGAAGGUGCAAGCCCUGCUGGAGCUACUGAAGCGUUCGCGGAAGGAAGACCCUUUAUCAAAGUCUGUCGUGUUUUCUCAGUUCCAGAAGAUGUUGAUUCUGCUCGAAGGGCCACAGGCUUCAAAAUAG